UGGGGAAUUUUGGACAAUGGGCGCAAGCCUGAUCCAGCCAUGCCGCGUGCGGGAAGAAGGCCUUCGGGUUGUAAACCGCUUUUGUCAGGGAAGAAAUCUUCUGAGUUAAUACCUCGGGAGGAUGACGGUACCUGAAGAAUAAGCACCGGCUAACUACGUGCCAGCAGCCGCGGUAAUACGUAGGGUGCAAGCGUUAAUCGGAAUUACUGGGCGUAAAGCGUGCGCAGGCGGUUUUGUAAGACAGAGGUGAAAUCCCCGGGCUCAACCUGGGAACUGCCUUUGUGACUGCAAGGCUUGAGUGCGGCAGAGGGGGGAUGGAAUUCCGCGUGUAGCAGUGAAAUGCGUAGAUAUGCGGAGGAACACCGAUGGCGAAGGCAAUCCCCUGGGCCUGCACUGACGCUCAUGCACGAAAGCGUGGGGAGCAAACAGGAUUAGAUACCCUGGUAGUCCACGCCCUAAACGAUGUCAACUGGUUGUUGGGGAAGGUUCCUUCUCAGUAACGUAGCUAACGCGUGAAGUUGACCGCCUGGGGAGUACGGCCGCAAGGUUGAAACUCAAA
rnacentral:rRNA from 1 species